CAGUCGCCACGGGAAUACGUAGGGUGCGAGCGUUGUCCGGAAUUAUUGGGCGUAAAGAGCUUGUAGGUGGUUUGUCGCGUCUGCUGUGAAAAUCCGAGGCUCAACCUCGGGCUUGCAGUGGGUACGGGCAGACUAGAGUGUGGUAGGGGAGACUGGAAUUCCUGGUGUAGCGGUGGAAUGCGCAGAUAUCAGGAGGAACACCGAUGGCGAAGGCAGGUCUCUGGGCCAUUACUGACACUGAGAAGCGAAAGCAUGGGGAGCGAACAGGAUUAGAGACCCCCGUAGUCCCUGUCUCUUAUAA
rnacentral:rRNA from 1 species